rnacentral:lncRNA from 1 species
AAGGUCCCUGAGGUUUGCUGUCACAGUUGGCUGUUUGGCAGGGAUCUGACCUGUCAUUUGGAAGAACAAGGUUCUUAAAUUCCAGAGGUCAUCUGGGAAUAGUGUCCAAGCAUUCCCAGUUUCCUUCCCUAGAGAUCAAACUCAGGGCCUUGUGCACUCGAGGCAAGUAAGUAUCCAUUCUGUCGUUGAGCUACAUCUCCAGCCCUAACUUCCCACCUUCACCACAGAAGAAACCUAGGAGCGGUGGGAGUAGGAGAAUCACAAACUGAGUGAUGUAGAAAGCAGAUGGGAAAGAGGAUGGAUGAUGAACCAAAGACCUGUGACCAGAGAAAUGCUCAGACAGACAUAGCAAGGCCUGCCCUGUGGUCACUAGAAGCAGACACACACCAGGAAGGUUAAGAAGGCUUGACCUGACGAAAGAACAGCACCAUCAGCAAGGGACCAAGCCUUCAGUACACCAGGCCUCAGGGGACAUGCAGCAGCGAUAAAGCCAUUACGACUUAUUCAAAAAACUCAUUGACUAUAUACACAAUGUAAGAAUGAACGCAAAUCAUCACUGACAAGGAACCAGAACCUUACCCUCACCUAACAACUGUGCCACCCUCCAAGCAGAGCCAUUGUUCAUUGAAACAGUUGAUGAACGACUUCAUGGAUAGACCAUCGUAAUGCACACACCAUUUCUUAUAUGAAUGUAACCUGUUCCUGCGGGCUGAGAAUGAAGACAAUCACUCAAGUCAAAUAGCUUUGACCAAAGAAGGAAAUCUGUAUCCAAAAAUUGUGCCUACAAUUCAUUCCUUGGCACUGCAGAACUGUCAAGUCUUAGCUUAUCUACUGUGGAGGUAAAAUCCUCCAUAGUAGAGAAUGUGAGGGACAUUCAAGUACAGCCUUAUUACAAUGAACUCCAAUGUCCAAAAAUUGUUCUUAUUUUGGGUUUGUACCACCAAAAGAGCCAAGAUUUUAAGCUCUACUAAAAACAAAACAAAACAAACAAACAAACAAAAUGACUUUAUCUAUUCAUGUUCAUUAAAAAAACUAAUAGUGAUAUAUUAUUUUAAAAUAUAUAGUUAAUAUAGUUGGAGUUACUUAAAAUUUAUAUUGAGAA